CCCUCGAUAGCUCAGUUGGUAGAGCGGAGGACUGUAGAUGUUACAACGGUGAUCCUUAGGUCGCUGGUUCAAAUCCGGCUCGAGGGA
rnacentral:tRNA from 1 species